rnacentral:rRNA from 1 species
UAGUCCGGAUUGGAGUCUGCAACUCGACUCCAUGAAGUCGGAAUCGCUAGUAAUCGUAGAUCAGAAUGCUACGGUGAAUACGUUCCCGGGCCUUGUACACACCGCCCGUCACACCAUGGGAGUGGGUUGCAAAAGAAGUAGGUAGCUUAACCUUCGGGAGGGCGCUUACCACUUUGUGAUUCAUGACUGGGGUGAAGUCGUAACAAGGUAACCGUAGGGGAACCUGCGGUUGGAUCACCUCCUU